AGGAGCCUGUUGGGCAGGAAGGAGAGCUACCUCAGAGCUCUGUGGGGAUCAGCGGGUGAGACGCACACCUGUGGAGAACAGCCGCUGAUGUGAGAGAUAUGCGCAGGGAAGAGCAUGAGGCCAUCACUGAGAGACUAAUCAGUGGUAGCGGAACAAGUGGCUGCCUAGCAGCACCUGACGGUUUGCUCAAAGAUGCGGGAAUCCUACGCAGGAGAGACUGGUCUGGCAAAAUCGGUCACUGGUGCACCUUCCCUUUCACCAGCUGUCAUCUGAAGAAUGACUGCCCUGCCAGUAAAUGUGUUUACAGUACAAACAUGCAGACUGCUAUAUGAUGGUGGAUAAACCAAUACAGUUUUAUAUGCAGAACAGGGGCAGGCAAGUGCAGGCUACGUCAGUUAGAAGUGAACGCAUCCACAGAUACUCCUUUUUGGUUGAAUCUCCACAUUCCAAAAUGCAGACCAAACAUAUACAUUUGAUAAUUUGAAGUUGUGAGGCUCCACCCACUUUUCCAGUAGACCACGCCCACUUUUCCAGGAGUAUAGGAGGGGGCGCUUUGAAAUUUUCUCGCUCAGGGUGCUAGUAGGCCUGGAGCCGGCCCUGCAGAAGUGGAUCUGAUUAUACACACCAGGGUACCAAUCUCUUAAUCACACUGAAAAACAUUUAAAGGUAGACAAGCCUACAUACCCAUCUGAUGCCCUGGAUACUUUUGGUAAUGUCAUCAGAUCUCUGGUCCACUUGGAUCUCGUAGGAGUAACU